AUGGCUGAAGACCUUCAACGUGAAGCCAAAGGUGGUGGGCGGCCAACAAGCGGAGUGCGGGGGCGCCAUGGUGGGCAAGAUGCCCAAUGUCACCUGGCCCAAAGGCUCCUUUGUGGAGACUGUGAAGGGGUGGCAAUCGGGGUAGUUCUACAUCACCGAGCCGCGAGGCGCCAACUGGGCGGCGACCCCCGAAUUUCGAUCCGGCGUCCCCAUGCGGCUCACCUCCUAGAAAGAGAAGGGCUUAGCCUGGGGCUCAACGGAAGAGCUGACCGGACUCCAGACCUGCGUCCAAAAUAUGAUAAGCAAGAAAAUCAAGCUUGUCAACGUGGUCCAUGUUAUGCUCCUCCGCCGGAUCCUUCCGUGCCAGAGACGGGUUUGCAAUUUGUGGGAGUUCGACCCGGUCGAACACGAGACACUGCGAGAGCUCUUCGGCACGACGCACGAAGACGUCUGGAAGGUGCUUUUCAAGGCCAACGAGGUACCACCACCCAUAACCGAAGAUCGUGGACUCAGCGCGGAACGCCCAGCCAAUCCGGUAAGUUUUCAUAUUUUGCAAGAUAUGCCUUUUACCAGCACAUCCGCGGGAGGUAUCUAAGCCUCCAUGCCGACUUACAGGCCUGGGUAGCGAUAGUGGAGCAGAUCGACUGUCCGGCUCCGCUACCUGAAGACCCAGAAUCGCCUCUUCUAACGAAGAUGCUGUUUCCGGCGCCCUACGAGGUGCCGGAGAAGAAGGCCAAGAAGGCGGCCGCGGGGACCAGAGAAGGUCUCCGGCGCAAGGUUGUAUCGGACAUGACAUCCGAAGACACAGAGACGCGCUCCUCCACCGAAGACGAGGAGGAGAAAGAGGAAAUCCACCCCCCACCGGGGGGAGAAAGAAGAGGAAGGCCGCCACGCACGGGGAGGCCGAGGUGUCCAAGAAGGGAAAAACCUUCCUUCCGGACCAUUCCACCACAGCCACCUACAGCGGCGAGGAGUGGGAGCCCAGGGACAAGCCCCUGGCUAAGUCGUAAGUAUCCGGACACAAAUAGCAUUUCCGGUAUGUUUGUUUUAUUGCUUCUUAUCAUGCCAGACGUGCACCUGCAGUCCGUCCAAAUCCAGCAUCGAUAUAUCCUCCUCUUCGGAGGGGUCUCUGGGCCCGUCGGCGAUGAACAGCGAUUCACUCCCGACAACCCCCUCCCCCAGGCCCGCGGACGACACCGAGGUGUUGUCUCAAAGGAUACCAGGGCAAGGGGAGACAGUUCCAGAGACGCCCCCAGGCGAAAUCCCAGUCGCUGGGCACAUGGGGGGAAGACCCCCAUGGACUCCAAUAAUGGGGGUCGCAGCAAGUUUGGCCCCCAGCCGAAUACAGCUCCGGAAACCCAAGUGGUUCCGAAUUCAGGCAGGGAGCCUCUCUCUAAGGGGGGCGAGCCGCCUGUACCGAUGACCUCUGUCCAUCCAGAGGCACCGGACAUCUUGCUGGAAGCGCUUCACGGCACUUCCAUUGAUGAAGAACACCGUAAGAGUACGGUGAUUGAGAAGGUCCGGUCCGCCAAAAGCGGAUUGACCGAAGCCUGCGCUAGCCUCCUAACAGGCUUUGAGGCGUCGCUGCUGGCCGCUGCCGCUCGUACUGCGGAGGUCUCUGGACUAAAGCAGGACCUAGAGCGGACCGAGGGAGAGCUCGGCCUCGUGAAGAGGCAGCUCGAGGAAAGUCAAGGCUUCGCAAGAGAAACUUGGAGUUAA
rnacentral:rRNA from 1 species